rnacentral:rRNA from 1 species
GACGAACGCUGGCGGCAGGCCUAACACAUGCAAGUCGAACGGUAACAGGAAACAGCUUGCUGUUUCGCUGACGAGUGGCGGACGGGUGAGUAAUGUCUGGGAAACUGCCUGAUGGAGGGGGAUAACUACUGGAAACGGUAGCUAAUACCGCAUAACGUCGCAAGACCAAAGAGGGGGACCUUCGGGCCUCUUGCCAUCGGAUGUGCCCAGAUGGGAUUAGCUAGUAGGUGGGGUAACGGCUCACCUAGGCGACGAUCCCUAGCUGGUCUGAGAGGAUGACCAGCCACACUGGAACUGAGACACGGUCCAGACUCCUACGGGAGGCAGCAGUGGGGAAUAUUGCACAAUGGGCGCAAGCCUGAUGCAGCCAUGCCGCGUGUAUGAAGAAGGCCUUCGGGUUGUAAAGUACUUUCAGCGGGGAGGAAGGGAGUAAAGUUAAUACCUUGACUCAUUGACGUUACCCGCAGAAGAAGCACCGGCUAACUCCGUG